rnacentral:rRNA from 1 species
AAAUAUAAAGAGUUUGAUCCUAGCUCCGAAUGAAUGCUAGUAGUAUGCUUAAACACAUGCUAGUUUUAUAGUCUUUUUAAAUGAAUUUUUUUAAAUUUGUUUUGAAGAUUAUGGCGUAAAGGUGAGUAUGUUAAGUUAUGUUAUCUAAAAAUUGCUGGAAAAUUAAUAUUUAAUCAGUAAUAAUUAAUAAAGAAAGUUUUUAAAUUUUUGUUUUUAGAUAUGUAACUUACAAAGAUUAAAUUGUUGGUAAGGUAAAAGCUUACCAAGUUAUAGAUCUUUAGUUGAUUUGUGAGAAUGACCAACCACAUCGAGAUUGAAAAAAAGCUCGAACUUAUUUUAAGGCAGCAGUGGGGAAUCUUGGACAAUGAACGAAAGUUUGAUCCAGCAAUACUACAUAAGUGAAGAAGGCUUUAUCGCUGUAAAACUUAAUAAUUUAAUUAAAGUAUGAUUAUUAAAUGAAAAGUUCUGACAAACUCUGUGCCAGCAGUCGCGGUAAUACAGAGGGAACGAGCAUUAUUCGUCUUUACUGGGCGUAAAGGGUCUUAAAAUGAUUUUUUUAUAUUAAAAAUAAAAGAUUAAAGCUUAACUUUAAUAGAGUUUUAAUAUUGAAAAAUUUGAGUAUGAAAUAGGAUUUUAGAAUUUCUAAUGUAGGGGUAAAAUCCGUUGAUAUUAGGAGGAAUACCUGUUGGUGAAAACAAAAAUCUAAUUCAUUACUGACAUUGAUAGACGAAAGCAUGGGGAGCAAACAGGAUUUGGUACCCUGGUAGUCCAUGCUAUAAACAAUGAAUAUUAAAUAUUAGAUCUGGUUAAUCAUAAUUUUCAAAAUUAUGGGAGGAUAAAUUGAAGUCUAAUAUAUAUAGUUAACACGUUAAAUAUUUCGCCUGGGGAGUAAAACCGCAAGGUUGAAACUCAAAGGAAUUGACGGGAGCUUAUACUUACGGUGGAGCAUGUGGUUUAAUCCGAUAGUCCGCGUGGAAUCUUACCAAUUUUUGACAUUCAUUAAUUUUUAAAAAAUGAAACAGGUGUUGCAUGGCCGUUGUCAGCUUAUGUUUUGAAAUUUAAAUAUAAGUUUAACCCUUAGUUUAAUUUACUAAUAUUUGGACAUCUAAUUAAAUACCAAAUAAGUACUAUUAAAAAAAUAUAAUUUUUUAUAUUUUAAAGGAUGAAAAUAGGUCGUUAUGACCCUUAUAAAUUGGGCUACACAUGUGCUACAAUAUUUUUGACAAAAAGUGGCAAUUAUGAAAAUAAGAGCAAAUCUUUAAAUAAAAAUUAAAUACGAAUUAUAGAUUGAAACUUAUCUAUAUGAAGUUGGAAUCGUAAGUAAUCGUAAAUUAGUAUGUUACGGUGAAUCAUAGUACUUAAGCUUUGUACACACCGCCCGUCACAUUAAAGAAGUAAUUUUCGAUUGAAAUUUUUGUUAAUUAAAUAAUAUUUAAUUAUAAGUUUUUUAUAAUUAUUAGAUUUAAUUUAAUAAAAAUUAAAUUAUAAAUUAUAAUUUUAAUGAAGUCGUAACAAGGUAACCGUAUGGGAACAUGCGGUUGGAAU